rnacentral:rRNA from 1 species
UACAGAGGUCUCAAGCGUUGUUCGGAUUCAUUGGGCGUAAAGGGUGCGUAGGCGGCGCGGUAAGUCGGGUGUGAAAUCUCGGAGCUUAACUCCGAAACUGCAUUUGAUACUGGCGUGCUUGAGGACUGGAGAGGAGACUGGAAUUCAUGGUGUAGCAGUGAAAUGCGUAGAGAUCAUGAGGAAGACCAGUGGCGAAGGCGGGUCUCUGGACAGUUCCUGACGCUGAGGCACGAAGGCCAGGGGAGCAAACGGG